rnacentral:rRNA from 1 species
GAUGAACGCUGGCGGCGUGCCUAAUACAUGCAAGUCGAGCGAACGGACGAGAAGCUUGCUUCUCUGAUGUUAGCGGCGGACGGGGGAGUAACACGUGGAUAACCUACCUAUAACACUUGGAUAACUUCGGGAAACCGGAGCUAAUACCGGAUAAUAUUUUGAACCGCAUGGUUCAAAAGUGAAAGACGGUCUUGCUGUCACUUAUAGAUGGAUCCGCGCUGCAUUAGCUAGUUGGUAAGGUAACGGCUUACCAAGGCAACGAUGCAUAGCCGACCUGAGAGGGUGAUCGGCCACACUGGAACUGAGACACGGUCCAGACUCCUACGGGAGGCAGCAGUAGGGAAGCUUACGAAGUGGGCGAAAGCCUGACGGAGCAACGCGGCGUGAGUGAUGAAGGUCUUCGGAUCGUAAAACUCUGUUAUUAGUGAAGAAAAUAUGUGUAAGUAACUGUGCACAUCUUGACGGUACCUAAGCAGAAAGCCACGGCUAACUACGU